AGACCCGAAACCCGGUGAUCUAGCCAUGGGCAGGUUGAAGGUUGGGUAACACUAACUGGAGGACCGAACCGACUAAUGUUGAAAAAUUAGCGGAUGACCUGUGGCUGGGGGUGAAAGGCCAAUCAAACCGGGAGAUAGCUGGUUCUCCCCGAAAGCUAUUUAGGUAGCGCCUCGUGAAUUCAUCUCCGGGGGUAGAGCACUGUUUCGGCUAGGGGGCCAUCCCGGCUUACCAACCCGAUGCAAACUGCGAAUACCGGAGAAUGUUAUCACGGGAGACACACGGCGGGUGCUAACGUCCGUCGUGAAGAGGGAAACAACCCAGACCGCCAGCUAAGGUCCCAAAGUCAUGGUUAAGUGGGAAACGAUGUGGGAAGGCCCAGACAGCCAGGAUGUUGGCUUAGAAGCAGCCAUCAUUUAAAGAAAGCGUAAUAGCUCACUGGUCGAGUCGGCCUGCGCGGAAGAUGUAACGGGGCUAAACCAUGCACCGAAGCUGCGGCAGCGAACGUAUCACCCAAGACAACUUUGCGGAGUUGACGAUUGACGGAGCGAAGCGACGUCAAAGCGUUCAUUAAAGUCGAGUUGGCUUAGGGAUACGUUCGUUGGGUAGGGGAGCGUUCUGUAAGCCUGUGAAGGUGUGCUGUGAGGCAUGCUGGAGGUAUCAGAAGUGCGAAUGCUGACAUAAGUAACGAUAAAGCGGGUGAAAAGCCCGCUCGCCGGAAGACCAAGGGUUCCUGUCCAACGUUAAUCGGGGCAGGGUGAGUCGACCCCUAAGGCGAGGCCGAAAGGCGUAGUCGAUGGGAAACGGGUUAAUAUUCCCGUACUUGGUGUUACUGCGAAGGGGGGACGGAGAAGGCUAUGUUGGCCGGGCGACGGUUGUCCCGGUUUAAGCGUGUAGGUGUGUGUUCCAGGUAAAUCCGGUUCACUUUAACACUGAGGCGUGACGACGAGGCACUACGGUGCUGAAGCAACAAAUGCCCUGCUUCCAGGAAAAGCCUCUAAGCAUCAGGUAACAUCAAAUCGUACCCCAAACCGACACAGGUGGUCAGGUAGAGAAUACCAAGGCGCUUGAGAGAACUCGGGUGAAGGAACUAGGCAAAAUGGUGCCGUAA
rnacentral:rRNA from 1 species